rnacentral:lncRNA from 1 species
GUAUAGAAGGAUUUGACAAGUGGUGAUUUAAUUCAUGUACCAAUUUAUGUGAUCUGUUUCCUUCGGAUAACAGCAAGAAUGCAGGCCUCAUCAGAAUUCAGCGUAUCGGCAGGGUUAGACCCAGGUCCUCGAGCUCUGUGGAGGGUUAGCAUUUUUUGACUGAGCCUCUGCUAUGGCACAGUGGUCAAGCAAAGAGGCGAGCUAACCACCUUGAGAUCUUAUGGCCAGGAGAAACUGCAUAAUUCCACAAGUUCAGAAUACUGUAUUAUAGUGUUG